rnacentral:rRNA from 1 species
AGUGAACGCUGGCGGCGUGCUUAACACAUGCAAGUCGAACGAGAACGGAAUAUAGCUUGCUAUAUUUGUCAGCUAAGUGGCGCACGGGUGAGUCAUGUAUAGAUAACCUGCACUUCAGAAAGGAAUAACAGUUGGAAACGACUGCUAAUGCCCUAUAUGCCUUUAAUACAUAAGUAUGCAAGGGAAACGCUUUAGUGCUUAAGGAUGGGUCUGUAUGGUAUCAGCUUGUUGGUGAGGUAAUGGCUCACCAAGGCUAUGACGCCUAACUGGUUUGAGAGGAUGAUCAGUCACACGGGAACUGAGACACGGUCCAGACUCCUACGGGAGGCAGCAGUGGGGAAUAUUGCACAAUGGACGAAAGUCUGAUGCAGCAACGCCGCGUGGAGGAUGACACAUUUCGGUGCGUAAACUCCUUUUAUAUAGGAAGAUAAUGACGGUACUAUAUGAAUAAGCACCGGCUAACUCCGUGCCAGCAGCCGCCGUAA